rnacentral:rRNA from 1 species
CAGCCGCCACGGGAAUACGUAGGUGGCAAGCGUUGUCCGGAAUUAUUGGGCGUAAAGCGCGCGCAGGCGGAUCAGUCAGUCUGUCUUAAAAGUUCGGGGCUUAACCCCGUGAGGGGAUGGAAACUGCUGAUCUAGAGUAUCGGAGAGGAAAGUGGAAUUCCUAGUGUAGCGGUGAAAUGCGUAGAUAUUAGGAAGAACACCAGUGGCGAAGGCGACUUUCUGGACGAAAACUGACGCUGAGGCGCGAAAGCCAGGGGAGCGAACGGGAUUAGAUACCCCUGUAGUCCCUGUCUCUUAUACC